CCUACGGGAGGCAGCAGUGAGGAAUAUUGGUCAAUGGGCGCUAGCCUGAACCAGCCAAGUCGCGUGAAGGAUGACUGCCCUAUGGGUUGUAAACUUCUUUUGUCGGGGAGUAAAGUGCGGUAUGUAUCCUGCUUUGCGUGUACCUGGUGAAUAAGCAUCGCCUAACUCCGUGCCAGCAGCCGCGGUAAUACGGAGGAUCCGAGCGUUAUCCGGAUUUAUUGGGUUUAAAGGGUGCGAAGGCGGGUGCGAAAGUCAGUGGUAAAAUUUGGGGGCUCAACCUCAUACUGCCGUUGAAACUUGGUUUCUUGAGUAGGCGAGAGGUAGGCGGAAUGCGUGGUGUAGCGGUGAAAUGCAUAGAUAUCACGCAGAACUCCGAUUGCGAAGGCAGCAUACCGGCGCCCAACUGACGCUGAGGCACGAAAGCGUGGGUAUCGAACAGGAUUAGAUACCCGUGUAGUC
rnacentral:rRNA from 1 species